UACAGUUUUGAGGCAAUGACUAGAAACUCUGUGGGGUCAUCUAGGAGAUCUGGAGCAAGACAUUGCAAAUGCUGGCAAAUGUCUCAGGUACUCUCACCCACCUGCCUUCAACAAUAAACAGGGAUGAAACAGGUUAGUACUGACCAGGUUUUAGACAAAUGCUCUUUGACAACAUCUCUGUGCAAGGUUAGGCUGGUGACUGACCCAAACUAAAAGAGAGAGAUACAAAAUGAAAAGAGAUGGUAUUAGGUUUUUAUCCUGUUUUUUAGUUACUUGGGGAUCCAAGUGAGGUGUCAGUACAUUUUAGCAAAUUCUGAGUUUCAAAUCUUGGGUAUUCACCUACUUGGCUUGCUGUUAUCUUAUACAUGAAUCACAACAAAGUUUAAAUGAAAUAAAAUUCACUUGUUUAACAGCCCCCUGACUCUACACAUGGGUGCCAGUCCUGGAGAGCAGCUAUGCAAUGACAGGUGUAGCUCAAACAUCAAGCCAUGGGGAAUAGGCUGAGCUCUGCUUCCUUCUGAAGUUCCUUCAGAGACUUUGGUAUUUUUCUUAGAAUCACCCUCAGGCAGUGGCAUCUAUCCAUCAUUAGGUAAAUGCAGUAGAUUGCUAAGAUAAGAAUAAUGGUAGGUUCAAUUCUUCUUUUUAAAACGUGUAAACAGGCUUACUUUCACCAAAGAAGAAACUUGAAUGCCUAGAGACUUUGGGAGAGGCAAUAUGAAUCUGGUCAAACCAAAGGCAAAGUGAGUGGUAUGUUAUGUGCUGUGUGCACUCCUUCAUCUUGGAGCUAAAUCAUCCGGAAAAUGACAUCUGAAGUGACCAUACCAAGAAACAAUGGAUGAUAAAAAUAGAGCAAAGACUGCCACCAUUAAAAACCGAUACAGGUGACUCCUGCUCAGAUUUGAUGAGUCAAAACUGAUCACAUGUCUCUAUGCUAAUUGCAGUGUAGGCUGAGCUGUCUAGAGCAGCACACAGAUACAGAUAUACAAUGGAUGCUGACAUCUGCCAUAAUAUGUUAGGAAAUCAAAACUACAAUGGGAGCUUAAAGAACAGUGGAAAGGAGGUAGGCAGGUUAGACCAAUGAGUCCUAAGCUGGCUGCACUGUUAAGUCAGGCAGUUAGGGUAGCCUCUAAUCCUCAUGUGAAUUCAGAGAAACGCAUCCCUCAUAAAGGGAUCCCUCUGCAAAAACAGGUUUAGGCAGGAGCCAAAGCAAUAAAAUCAUUAGCAAAGGUGUUUUGCUUUUGCAAGGUGUGUCUCUUCUGAAUAAGGGGGAGGGAAAAGAAAGUAGGGCCACACAUCAGAGGAAAAAUUCUAGUUUUCUUCCCCAUCAGGGAGCUUUUCCAUUUUGUAUAAUGAAGCUGGCCACUAGGAUGUUGAAAUAGUUUAUAAUAUAUAAAAGAAGACAAAAACUGUGGGCAGGAUCACUGUCGCAAUAAGUCAAGGUCUGGUGGUGGCAGUUCAACAAGAGUGCUACAACAAGAAUGUUAGGAAGUCUGUGUAUUGUGCUGAUCUUGGAGAUGUUGUGAGCAGAGCUCUCCAGCAAGCAGGGCAGUGUGCAGAAGAGAGGUGAGGACAGCAAAUGCCAUGUCUAUGAGCAAGCAAGGCAAGAUGCAAGAAAGAAUCUGAAAGAAUUGAGGUUCAGUGAUGACCUUUGGAAAAGAAUCCAUAUUGGAAGUCAAAGUCUCGUAAAAAACUAUUGAGUGGACCAUGAAGACAAAACCAAACAAGAAAAGGGUGUAAGAUGCAUUGACUUAAUUCACAGCAUGUCAGAGAAACAGGGUUAGAAGACAGUUUUUUGCUAAAGCAAGUAUUUUACAAAUAUAGUGGGCUGCCUUAUAGAACAAAGGCUGAGCUAAAGCUAUGGAGAAGGUGGUUCUGUGAGAAAAUGUGCUCGUAGCACAAACACAAGGACCUGAGUUCAAAUCCUUAUAAGCUGUGCGAGUUGGAGACAGAGUAAUACUCAUGUAAUCUUCAACCUCCUAAACAAAAUACAAAACAAAAAUAGGGAUUCCCACGACUCAGAUACUACCCAUCGAAAGAUUGUGCUGACAACUGCUGUCCACAUAGAGGAGUCUGAGUUGCUUUUGACUAUAAGUGAAUAAUCCAGGAAGUUCAUGUAACUGUGCUCUGGGAAACUUAACAGAGUGGGCUUUCAUAGUGUACUGAGAGUGAGACAAAGCAGAUGUACAGCCAGAUCUCAGAGAUUGACCUAGUAUCAUGGGAGGUGAGGUAGUACUGAGUCAACAAAAGAAUAGUGAUGUCACGAAAACAAGUAUAACUCAGAAAAUCUAGGUGACAGAGGCGGGGAGAGAGAAAGAGAGAGAGAGAGAGAGAGAGAGAGAGAGAGAGAGCAAGAGAGAGAGAGAGAGACUGAGACGAAGACAGAGACAAAGGCAGGGAGGUUACACACCUGAGCUUAUGCAUGUAAAACCCAGGUAUUAGAUGUCUUGUUCUUAUUCUCACACCUAUUUCUUUGAGAUAAGGGCAUUCACUUGGAACUAGGCUGGCAUCCUAUAAACCCCUGUAAUCCUCUUCUUGUCUAUGCAAGUCCCUUCUCUUUUUUUGUGUUCCUCAAAGCACAUGGGUUAUGGGACCAUAUGAAUGGUCAGGUGUUUUGUUUUUGUUUUUGUUUUUUUGUUUUUUUUUACAUGACUGGGUUCUUCAUGCUUUCCAAGUAAGUGUUCCCAAGAUAAAUAGACUAAGAAAAGAAGAAUAGCAUGGGCAGAUAUUGUGGUGAUAUAUUCAUAUGCUUGUCAAGACUGAGAGGUUUCACAGUGAAGGAAGAGGAAUGGGAGAAAAGCCAGACACACAAUUUGCCAGUGUGUGUCUGAGGUCUGAAAACAAGAGGAAAUGAUGUUCUCUCAGUGUUAAGUCCAUAGAAGGACAGAGGCCUACCAACUACUAGUAUCCAUCUUGAAGUCCUAAGACCUGAGGCCUAGGAACUUCGAUGAUCCAGAACAGGAAUGGAUGGACACUCCAGGUAAAGUAAACAAAUGGGUGUACCUUUACUCUGAACAGCUCUUAAACACCCACUGGCACAGGUAAGAGCAGCAUCCCAUAUUUAGUCUUCUCAUUCAGAUGCUGAUUUCUGAAAACAUCCCACCAAAGCCAUGUUAAUUCAGCAACCCCAGAAUCCCUUAACUCAGUUGACUUGAUAAUUAUAAAAUAUUGUCCAACACAAAACUCUUCCAAAAGUUACUGAGAUGGAGACUGAAACACCAAAAGGCAACACUGAAUGGGAAUGUUUCUAGUUCCACAUACAUGUCUGUGUCUGCUUUGACAGAGAAAUCCCUCAGGAGCUUGGGUAAAAAUUGAUUAGGCAUUCUGUGGAUACGUAUGAACCAAACUAUGUAGAAAUAUUCAGAGUAAUUAAAGGUGGGAUCUUUGUCCUCUCUGUGACACAUUCAUUCAGAGGUUACAGUCCUUAACUAAUGUACUCAUUUCAACUACUUUCCUUCCUUUAAUAUCAAGUCUGAAACUUUAUGAUUUCAUAGUGGGUAAUGGCUUGAAGAAAGUUAUAAAAUAUAUGGCAUGACAUACUUUUACACAACUAUAAAACCUUUAACAAAUAUAAAAUAUUUUUAUAGACAAUGCAAUUAGUAAAUAUAUUUAAUGAUUGUUUAUGAGAAUAAUGAAAUGAAGGACAUUAAUAUUUUUGAAAGAAAAGAGAGACUGUUUUGAGAUUUUGAAAAGAUUACUUAACCAUAAUGAAAGCAAGCCCAUAGUGAAGGAGUGAGCCGUGUGAGCAUUUGGAGAGAAAAUAACAAAUCUAGAAUACCAUAACUUGAAAAUCAAUGUUUUGUGCAAGAGUUAAGCAUCUGUAGCACAGUAAGUUGUAGUUAGGGCAGGCAGAACUUUCCUAAUAUCUUCCUUUAAGCAUAUUUUUUAUUGAGAAAUGUUUACAUGCACAGAAGAGCACAAAUAUUGAGUGUGAUUUAGUGAGUUUUGACGAAUUUAUAUGCUCAUAGAACCAUGACACCAGUCAAGAGAUGGGCUAUUUCCAUUACGACAAGAUGUUUUUUUUUUUUUAUCCAUUUCUAUUUGAUUCCUUCACCAGAUGAAACGGCUGGUUGAUUUCUAUUUCCAUAAAUUAUUUUUGGAGCUACUAUAACAUCAUGCAAAUGAACCCAAACAUACUGAAUUCUCUAGGCUUUCUUAUGUACAGCGUAAUGUAUGUCUGAUUUCUUUAUGCCAUUGCAUAUGUCCUAGUGACAUUUGAAUCAAAGAUGCCCCCGUAAGUUCCUAUGUUGGAAGAUAUGGUUCCUAGCUAGACACUAGGGAUGUUAUGAAAGCUGAAGUAAAUGGAGACUCAUGUGGGGAAAGUUUGUCACAAGGAAUGGGCCUUGAGGUGUCAUAGCCCAGCCUGACUUUCUAUCCAGUCUCUGCUUCCUGCAUGCUGACACAAUGUUCCCACUACGAUGCCUGCUUUCCCACCACAAUGGAAUGUAUCCUUAGACGUGAAUCUGAGUGGGCCAGAAAAGGACCCUACCUAGUGUGGGCAGAACCUUUUGGUGGACCAGAUAUAAAUAGAUCCCAGUGAAAAGCAGUGCCUGCUGCCUGCUUACCUUCACUUCUUGCUGGUCAAUGAUUGUAUUUUCCACUGACAUCAGAACUCAGCUUCAUCAGAUACAAAUGUAGACUGAAGAUUAGUGACUAGCUCUAGGAAUCUUCCAGGUCCUUAGCACUAAAUUGGGACUAAAGAGGGAUUUAAUUUCACGGACCUGCCAUGCAUUGCAUCUUUAAUCUCUCUGAUGUGUAUAAAGCAUUUCUUGUGCUACCCAGACAUUAGGCUAUAAGUCACUCUUGCAAAUCAUCUUCAUAAUAUUUACAUUCUGUGACUUUCAUUAUUACAGAGAAUGUUGUCUAAUAUAAUCUUGUUGUAUUCAAGUUUUUGCUUCUUUGCAAUUGUUUUAUCUGAUCUUUUAUUAGGGGUUAUUUCUAUAUCUGGGAUAUAAGCUCUUCAGGGUGUACAGAUUUUGAAUAUUUUUUUUCUAAAUCUGGCUCAUCUGUUUCUUUUGAAAUCAGCAUCUUUCACUUAGUAGCUCAUGUUAUGAUGCUAUUAAUACUCUUUGAAUGGAAGUUUGCUUAAAUUGUAUCACAGCAGCUCAUGGCAAGAUGUGCUAGUAUCUGUGGAGAAUGAGAGAACGCAUCUAUUGUGGAUACAACCAAGGCUAUGCAGUUCGCAACACCUGGUGCCAUAAAAGCUACAAAGAUUUCUUCUGUCAGAAUCAUCUGUACUCCCAGCUGCUACCUAAGACCCAAAUAUCGCUAUCAUCCUGUCACAGCCAGCCUGUGGACUAGUUAGCUAACUUGAGCAGUAAAAUCCUGUUGUGAUCAUGUGGUCACGGUUUCCAAGAGCCUGCAUCAUUGCAAAGCAGCAUCCCUUGUGCCUAGUCAGCAGCUAUUCCACAACAAAGUUGCUCUCUGGGUGUAUUUUACUUUGGGCCAAGAAAAGGCUCUUUUCCUGUUUUCAUUUUUCAGUUUUGUUUUUGUUAGGAUUUUGUUUUGUUUUGUUUUGUUUUUCUUUUUUGUCUAAAUCAUAUUUGUCCACCAAUCCAAUCUACAAAGUUUUACCCUAAUUUGAUUGGUAUUUCUGCAGUCCACAAAUUAUAAGAAUCAUUUAGUCAUAGGCAAAAGAAUUCCUCACUUCUGAUUUUGAGCUUUAGAAUGCCACUGCAUGUGACAUAAACACCCACACUCCACUUUCUACAAGACAUGGGGAUAUCGCUGACACAGAAUCUUUCCGAUAAUAGAGGCAGAGAGCACACAGUGGCCUGAAUAUCCACCUCGGUGACUACAUUUGCCACCAACUUUCUUUUCCAUGGAGCUCCUGACUACAGCUAAUAAGUAUAAAAGAUUCACACCUGCCCAUUUUCAUGUGAACCCUACUUUAAAGCAGAAAAGCUCUUGAGCAGAUGAGGUAAGAGGUGGGAAAAAUUAACAUGUCAAAGCCUUACUCCUGUUUCUGAGGUUGUGAUAGAGUUAUGAAUAACACAAUAUCAUCUCCCAGGACAGCCCACUGUCCCUUUCCUUGUUUCAAUUACUGAUCCAAUUUGUAGUUUUCUCUGAGUGCUCAUAAUUUAGCAUGGCAUUUGCAACAAUUACUGUGUCUAGAACUUAUCCACAAUGUUAAUGUCACUAUAAUAAUAAAUAAUAAACUUACUUAUAGUGAUUAUACUUUGUUUAUUUGGAAAAGCAGAAGUCAAUGUUAAACUUUUAAAAAUUGAGUGAAGUUUUUAAAAAUCUGAAAAUAAACAAAAUUUCAACUUUAAA